rnacentral:rRNA from 1 species
GACGAACGCUGGCGGCGUGCUUAACACAUGCAAGUCGAACGGAAAGGCCCUGCUUUUGUGGGGUGCUCGAGUGGCGAACGGGUGAGUAACACGUGAGUAACCUGCCCUUGACUUUGGGAUAACUUCAGGCAACUGGGGCUAAUACCGGAUAGGUGCUCCUGCUGCAUGGUGGGGGUUGGAAAGUUUCGGCGGUUGGGGAUGGACUCGCGGCUUAUCAGCUUGUUGGGGGGGUAGUGGCUUACCAAGGCUUUGACGGGUAGCCGGCCUGAGAGGGUGACCGGCCACAUUGGGCCUGCGAUACGGCCCAGACUCCUACGGGAGGCAGCAGUGGGGAAUAUUGCACAAUGGGCGGAAGCCUGAUGCAGCAACGCCGCGUGCGGGAUGACGGCCUUCGGGUUGUAAACCGCUUUCGCCUGUGACGAAGCGUGAGUGACGGUAAUGGGUAAAGAAGCACCGGCUAACUACGUG